ACCGGAGGAACGAAGGCUAAGUGCGCCACAUCGUGUGGCAACGCCUUCGUGACCAACAUCCUGUUGG
rnacentral:sRNA from 1 species